CAGAGACUGCAAGCGUUAUUCGGAUUCACUGGGCGUAAAGGGUGCGCAGGCGGCCGUGUGUGUGAGGCGUGAAAGCCCGGGGCUUAACCCCGGAAUUGCACCUCAAACUACAUGGCUAGAGCAUUGGAGAGGGUAGCAGAAUUCAUGGUGUAGCAGUGAAAUGCGUAGAUAUCAUGAGGAAUACCAGAGGCGAAGGCGGCUACCUGGACAAUUGCUGACGCUCAGGCACGAAAGCGUGGGGAGCAAAAGGGAUUAGAUACCCCUGUAGUCCGCGCCCUAAACGGUGCACACUAGGUCUUGGCGGAUUCGACCCCACCAGGGCCCAAGCUAACGCGUUAAGUGUGCCGCCUGAGGACUACGGCCGCAAGGCUA
rnacentral:rRNA from 1 species